rnacentral:rRNA from 1 species
AUUGAACGCUGGCGGCAGGCCUAACACAUGCAAGUCGAACGUGUGGCGGACGGGUGAGUAAUGUCUGGGAAACUGCCCGAUGGAGGGGGAUAACUACUGGAAACGGUAGCUAAUACCGCAUACCAUCGGAUGUGCCCAGAUGGGAUUAGCUAGUGGGUGGGGUAAUGGCUCACCUAGGCGCCGUUCCCUAGCUGGUCUGAGAGGGUGACAAGCCACACUGGAACUGAGACACGGUCAAAACUCCUAGGGGAGGCAGCAGGGGGGAAAAUUGCACAAUGGGCGCAAGCCUGAUGCAGCAAUGCCGCGUGAAUGAAGAAGGGCUUAGGGUUGUAAAGGACUUUCAGCGAGGAGGCGUUACUCGAAGAAGAAGCAACGGCUAAGUCCGUGCCAGCAGCCGCGGUAAGAC